AUCAGUCACAGAGAUCCUCCUUCCCUCUCUCGUCCUCUCCUCCAACCCAGGGGUUCCCCAGGGAGUGCUCCAGGACCUCCAUGUAGUCCUCAGUGGCCCCCUGCUGCUCCCCCUGCAGGAGGCAGAGCGUGGCCCACAGGUAGCAGGUGAUGAGGAGGGCAGAUUGGCAAGGAAGAUGUUGCCGGGUGACCUGCUCUUCCUUCAGGCAUCCUCUGGGUACCCGGCCCCUCUGGACCCUGCUGCAGGGCAGGACCAGCCACGAGCGGCCCCCUCUCCUCAGAGCCCAGCUUGUGCCAUCAUCAAGCCAGUGGUUUUUGGGAUCCACCACCCCUCUGCCCUGGGAGUCGCAUGUGUCAUCUUAGUUCCCCG